rnacentral:rRNA from 1 species
CCUACGGGAGGCAGCAGUAAGGAAUAUUGGGCAAUGGAGGCAACUCUGACCCAGCCAUGCCGCGUGAAGGAUGACGGCCCUACGGGUUGUAAACUUCUUUUGUAUGGGAAUAAACUCCGCUACGUGUAGCGGAUUGAAUGUACCAUAAGAAUAAGCAUCGGCUAACUCCGUGCCAGCAGCCGCGGUAAGACGGAGGAUGCAAGCGUUAUCCGGAUUUAUUGGGUUUAAAGGGAGCGUAGGCGGGAUAAUAAGUCAGUGGUGAAAUCUUGGGGCUCAACCCCGAAACUGCCAUUGAUACUGUUAACCUAGAGUACAUUUGAUGUGGGCGGAAUGUGUCAUGUAGCGGUGAAAUGCUUAGAUAUGACACAGAACACCGAUUGCGUAGGCAGCUCACAAAACUGUAACUGACGCUGAGGCUACGAAAGCGGUGGGGAUACAAACGAGGUAUUAGAUACCCGUGGUAGUCCACGACCGUAAACUAUGAUCACUCGAUGUUGGCGAUACACUGUCAGCGUCUGGAGAGAAGACGAGUUAAGUAGUAACGUCCGUACCGUUGGGGUUAGGGUACGGUUCGGACGAACGACGUUAGUUAAACGUUAAAGUUAGUUAGUUAGGUUACGGCGUUGGAGACGUUCGACCGGACGGACGACCGACGGAGGGAGGUAGG